CCACCUUCAUGCUCCCAGCGCCAUUUUCACCCACUUAACGCCAUUUUCAUGCUCCCAUGUCAUUUCACCUUGCCACCAUGCAUUUGAAAAGAAAAAUAGAGAGAAUCAGCCAAGGAAAGAAAGGAGAGAAAAGUGAGAGGCUUGGGUAGUAAGUUAUUCAAGAGUAAUUGAAGAAAUAUUAAGUGGGUCUCAAGACUCAAGAAACAUAAGGUAAGGAUUUUUGUGUUUUAAGCUCAUGGUUGGUUAAAUCUUUGGAGAAAUAAUGUGUGAACCAUUUUACGGUAGCUAUGGUGGCCAUGGGUGUGAGGAAAUUAUGAAUUUUGUUGGGUGAAAUCCAAGCUAAAACCAAAUGGUAAGCUUAAUGUUACAAUUUGAAGCCUAUGAUUGGUUUAAUAUGGUGAGAAUGAUUGUGUGCAAUAUGUAGGGUUAUUGUGAUGUCAUGGGUAUGGAUGGAAGGCAAUUUUAUCAAUUGUAAGCUUGUAAAUAAUUGAGUGAAAGUGAGGCUGAUUGUUACUGCCAUAUAUGUGGAUUAUGUGUGAAAAUGUAAGACAAAUUUGAAUGAAAAUGGCUAGAAAAGUUUAAUAUGGGUGCUAGAGUCAUAAUUUAGUUGUCGAUAAUUAUAAUUUAAAGAAUUACGUAAGUAAAGGAUAAAGGCAACUAUGAUAAAAAUGUGUCAAGAUAUAAGUUAGUUGAAUGAGGAUUCAUGAUUGAAGGAAAAAUAGAAGUAAAAAUGAUGUACACUAAAAAUAUUGAAUUUGGAUUAUUGCUAGGAAGUGCAAAAGUAAAGAUAGUAGACUGUGGUGGCAUGUCGGAGGAAAUAACGAGUGAUCGACAAGUAGAAAUAGCUAGAUAUGCCUCCGAACUAAUAGCGAUAUAAUAUCCCGCUAUCUUAAGGUGAGUGAACUUGCAUUAAAAUGUUUUGGGAUAAAUGCAUAUGUGUUUAAUUGAAUCACCUGAAAUGUUUUAUCGAACUUUUCUUUAAAACGUGCAUGGGAACAAGCCCUUGAUGAAAUGUUUUUAUGUGGUAAAAUAUGUGAGAUAAUGAAACCAUAUGUUCUUAUAUUAUGUGGAUAUGUGUGUUAUGCUUUGAGUGAUAAUGCUGUAUAAUAGCUAUAAUCGUGCAUGUGUGGUGUGGGAGUGCACGUGAUGGUGUCGGUGGUGUGCGGUGUGUGAGUGCACAUGCCGGUAAUGAUGUGGGCGGGAGUGCGUGUGAUGAUAUUGAAAUGUGCGUGUAGGGAGUACACAUGAUGAUAUUGAAAUGUGCGUGUAGGGCGUGCACAUGAUGAUAUUGCCUUGUGCGUGUAAGGAGUGCACAUGAGAUGAGUAAGGCAACGACAGUGUACAUGUGUAUAUAUAUAUGCUAUAGACAAGUUAUGAAAAUAAAAAAUAUGAUUAUACUAUAUGCUAUAGAAUGCCUUUCCGCUGUAGCGAGAUUCGCUCUGCUAUGCUUGCCUUGCUUGAAUUUCUUAAAUGUUUUAAAAUGAGUUGAAAAACAUCACGGCAUCGAGUUUUGUUAAUAAUAUAUAAAAUUGCAUUGUUUUAACACAAAUGCAUCAUGUUUUCGAAAAGCUCUCCGUAUCGUUUGCUUGUUCCCUUCUUAUGUUCAUUCACUGGGUUUGUACUUACUUUUUUUAACUUCAUGUUUUAGAUUCGAAGGUAGUUGGGACCUAGAUUGAAGUGUCCAUUUGUAUUCACCAUUUGGUAGGUACCAUGGUAUCCUGUAACGGCACCCACGCCUAGAGUCACUCCACUAAUAGUCAAGGUCUCUUGUUAGUGUAUAUAUUUACUGAAAUGUAAAUUAUGAGAUUGUUAUGCACUCUGUAUGUUGAUUGAUUACCCCUAUCGGUUAGGGUUAAAGAAUGAUAACCAUAUUUUGGGG
rnacentral:lncRNA from 1 species